GACAGAGGGGGCAAGCGUUGCUCGGAAUCACUGGGCGUAAAGGGUGCGUAGGCGGGUCUUAAGUCAGGGGUGAAAUCCUGGAGCUCAACUCCAGAACUGCCUUUGAUACUGAAGAUCUUGAGUUCGGGAGAGGUGAGUGGAACUGCGAGUGUAGAGGUGAAAUUCGUAGAUAUUCGCAAGAACACCAGUGGCGAAGGCGGCUCACUGGCCCGAUACUGACGCUGAGGCACGAAAGCGUGGGGAGCAACA
rnacentral:rRNA from 1 species